CUUAAACGCAUCCCCUGAUUGCAACUCAGAUGCUUUAACUUAAGCUAAAGCCUCCCAGAUAAGGGGCCUC
rnacentral:tRNA from 1 species